AGCUGUUUUCGGGAUGUGUGUCCCGACUGAUGAGCUCCAAAGAGCGAAAACAGAA
rnacentral:hammerhead_ribozyme from 33 species